CUCUCUCUCUCUCUCUCUCUCUCUCACUCUCAAAACCUCACAAAUCAUACUGGUAAUCUCACAAAUUCUCCUCACUCUCACUCGACUCCCACUUUGAUGAAGAUAUGAAGAUUUUGAUCGAUUGUUGAUGAAGAUUUGAAGAUUUCGAUCUGCUGUUGAUGCAGAUUUGGAUUGAUUCAUAAUCGGUUCCACUACUUCGACCGAGUAAAUGGAAUUAGGACUCCCUACAUUUGCCAAUUGCCUUUUGAUCACCUUACUCAUCUUCCUGGGCAUGAACAUCACCGAAAUCGAGGGAUAAUUGAUACUAAAACCCCUAUUCUCCAGCAAAGUCUCAUGGCAACUCACAUUCCUAUGAGUAAUUGUGAAAAUUUAUGAUUUUGUGUAUCCCAGGGUGCACAGAUGAGUGAUAUGCUCAUCUGGCCUGAUAUCAUAUACCAGUCCUGGAUUGAUGGCUCUCUUGGGGUUUACAUGUCCAGCUCCCAUCGCGAAAACUCCUGCAGGUUUGUCUCCAUCCAUUAUUGGCCUUCCUGAAUGGUCUGUGAUUUUCGCUGUUGUCAUGAUUGUAGAUUUAAUAGCUGCUGGGGUCUAUGUUGGAUGAGCUAAGUGGAUCAGAGCAGCAAUUCCACCGACAUGUGGACAAGCCAUGGAAGUCCCUGACAUGACAGUGAAGUUCACUCUUCUAGAAUCUUCUAGAAGAGCGCUGGGGCCUAAGUUUUGAGGCCAGGCAGCGAUGAUGCUCACUCUAGGAGCAAGAUUGGAUUUGAGGAACAUAUAUCUCGGUGGAGCUGAUUGGAGUUAAAUUUAUCUGAUGUAGGACACAAUAACUGGAUUUUUACUGGCUGGAGUAGGCAAUGUGGAUUUGCGGAGAAAGACAAAUUACCUAAUUGUGGACUCAAGUUGCAAACAUGAUAAAGUUUUUAGUAGAUAGCUACAACAAUCCAAUUCCAGCAAUUUUGGAGAUUCCUUCCAAGGACCAUCCUUACGAUCCAACACAUGAUUUUGUUCUUUCAAGAAUGCUAGUUGAUGAUAUUGGUGAUGUAACAAUUACUAAUAAUGGUGCUAUAAUACUCAAGAUGUUAUAUGUUGAGCAUCCUGCUGCAAAGGUGGAAGAAUAAAGCAUCCAUUUGGAUGAGCUUCAAGACCGAGAAGUUGGAAAUGGGACAACUUCUGUGGUUAUUUUAUCAGUCAAGUGAUCCAGUAGAUAAUGAUGCAUGGAAAGAUAGUGACGGAGAAGCUUGACACUUUUUUUUUUUUCCUAGCCCAGUUGAAUGGCUCUGAAGAACAUUAAGAGUUUCAAGCACAAAAAAUGAUAGAAAAAAAAUUAGAAAUUCACUUGGUUGAGUUUAUUUUUUAGUUUCUUGUUGAUAGAAUUUACUUGGAUUUAAUUUGUUCAAUGUAGUCAGAUUUUUGGAAAGAUGAUAAAUCAUAACGAUGCACUAUUUAUAAA